rnacentral:rRNA from 1 species
UACGAAGGGUGCAAGCGUUACUCGGAAUUACUGGGCGUAAAGGGUGCGUAGGUGGUUGUUUAAGUCUGCUGUGAAAGCCCCGGGCUCAACCUGGGAAUGGCAGUGGAUACUGGACAGCUAGAGUGCGGUAGAGGGUAGUGGAAUUCCCGGUGUAGCAGUGAAAUGCGUAGAGAUGCGGAGGAACACCAGUGGCGAAAGCGACUUUCUGGUCCUUAACUGACGCUGAGGCGCGAAAGCAUGGGGAGCGAACGGG